UACGUAGGUGGCAAGCGUUGUCCGGAUUUACUGGGCGUAAAGCGUAUGCAGGCGGGAUCUUAAGUAGGAAGUGAAAGGUUGGAGCUCAACUCUAACACUGCUCCCUAUACUGGGGUUCUUGAGUGCCGGAGAGGAAGACGGAACGACACGUGUAGCGGUGAAAUGCGUUGAGAUGUGUCGGAACGACCAAUGGCGAAAGCAGUCUUCUGGACGGAUACUGACGCUGAGAUACGAAAGCCAAGGUAGCAAACAGG
rnacentral:rRNA from 1 species